ACGAAGUGACCGUCACCCAUCCUUUUCAUCUAGUAGAACUGAUCUCAGGAUCUACAGAGGAGAGGUGAAAUAGAGUAUUACAGAGAUGAUGUGAUAUCCCCAGGGAGCCAUACCUGUUUCCUUCAAAGGCAGGAGUGCCUGUGCACCGUAGGCCAGUGGCGGAUCCCAUUGUUGCUAAUGAAGCCAUACGAGGACCUCUGCUGAGACCAGAAUUAGCAGCUCUGGACCUUUAAAGUGAUAGCAUUUCCCAGCCUUAAACUGAGCAGCUGAGCAAAAAACGCAUCCUUCCUGUAAUCAACACAGCAAAAUGAGAGGCGGAGAAACCAUGCUGAGAAGAAGCAAGGUCAUAUGUUGAACUGUUUUCCCUUUGGCCCAGAAGACAGCUCAGACUCAACACUGGCCCUGAGUUUACCUCCCUCACUUUGGCUCAAGACCUGAAGUGAUGUGCUUCCGCCCCAGAGCACCUUCCAUCGUGUGAGGCCCGAAACAUGACCACCAGUAGCCACGCAUGUCCUGUCCCCUCAGUGAAUGGACACAUGACUCACUACCCAGCCGCGCCCUACCCGUUACUCUUCCCACCAGUCAUCGGAGGACUUUCCCUGCCUCCCCUCCAUGGCCUGCAUGGCCACCCUCCUCCAAGUGGAUGCAGUACCCCAUCCC